CAGUAGCCACGGGAAAACGGAGGGUGCAAGCGUUAAUCGGAGUUACUGGGCGUAAAGCGUGCGUAGGCGGUUCGUUAAGUCUGUUGUGAAAGCCCCGGGCUCAACCUGGGAAUGGCAAUGGAUACUGGCGAGCUAGAGUGUGUCAGAGGAUGGUGGAAUUCCCGAUGUAGCGGUGAAAUGCGUAGAGAUCGGGAGGAACAUCAGUGGCGAAGGCGGCCAUCUGGGACAACACUGACGCUGAGGCACGAAAGCGUGGGGAGCAAACAGGAUUAGAUACCCCUGUAGUCCCUGUCUCUUAUAC
rnacentral:rRNA from 1 species